ensembl:lncRNA
AGCCACCUUCACUUCUGUGUGAGAGGGAGAGUGCCUGUAGGCCUGGAAAAUUGAAGGUUUGAAAACUAAUUUUGUUUGACUCUUUAAUCCAUUUCAAACAUAGGCUCCAAAAUGGAAGAUUAAAGGAUUUCACUUUUGCUGCUGAGGACAUUCAGCUUAGAAAGGUGAAAGAUAACAGAAGUAGGAUGACUUCGGGAUAGAACAAUAGGAGGUUGAGCAGGAGGAACUUGCCUUUACCAGACCCAAGGACCACAGUACUUCCAGGGACCGGAGAUCAUGUACAGACCAAACACAGCAAACAGUGCUGCUUCCUAUCGUUUCAUGGAAGCCCCCAGAAGUCAUCUUAGCAGUAGAGAAACAGCAAGAAGAAUGAAAUUAAAAGGAACUACAGAAGUGACUUGCUGUCCAUAGAAGUUUGUAAGUGAGUAAGGAGCUGCUAUGGAGAUGAUUCUAGAAAGCCCCUACCUUCUACAAGAACAUAUCAGGUUAAGAAAGAUCCACACUACAGCAUCCAAAGGUUAGACAUUGGAAGAGCUAUGCAUGCUAUUGCAAACCUGAAUUCAUGUUUCAAUGGAAAUGAAACCUCCAUUCAGCCCUGCUCACCCUACAGCCA